CAGCAGCCACGGUAAUACGGAGGGUGCAAGCGUUAAUCGGAAUUACUGGGCGUAAAGCGCACGCAGGCGGUUUGUUAAGUCAGAUGUGAAAUCCCCGAGCUUAACUUGGGAACUGCAUUUGAAACUGGCAAGCUAGAGUCUUGUAGAGGGGGGUAGAAUUCCAGGUGUAGCGGUGAAAUGCGUAGAGAUCUGGAGGAAUACCGGUGGCGGAGGCGGCCCCCUGGACAAAGACUGACGCUCAGGUGCGAAAGCGUGGGGAGCAAACAGGAUUAGAUACCCCAGUAGUCCCUGUCUCUUAUAC
rnacentral:rRNA from 1 species